AAUCAAUCGCGCACGUAAAUAAAUAAGCAAAUAUACACAUAUAUAUAUGCACGAGUGCAUAUACGUGUCAAUGCAAGUUUGAUUACUAGUCCUUAGUUUUUUUCUAAAAGUUAAAGAAUGUUCAUUUUUCUUUUUCUUUUUUUAUUUCUACUUAAUUUCGACAUUGCAUAAAACUAUUUAAAAACUGUGAAGUUACUAAAUAACUCAGAAAAAAAAAAAAAAUACAUAGAAUAAAAUUAGUGUAUCUAGCAGUAUUUAAAAUUUUUUAUUUUUUUUUUUUUUUUUUAUAAAUUAUACUUUUUUUUUUUAAAUAUACAAAACAAUAUAUAUUUUUCCUUUUUUUUUUUUGAGCGAAGGGCUUUUUUUAUACAUUAAAAUUAUUAGUUAAUGUUAUUCGUAGUGAUUUAAAGGCAUAUAUUAACUUUUGGAAUUUUUUUUUUUUUUUUUUUCACAGUAUACCGCUUUUUAUUUAAAAAAAAAAAAAAAUGAACAAACUUAAAGAUCGAAUGAAUAAAGGCACAUAUAAAAAAAAAAAAAAAAAAAAGCAAGAAAGAAAGAAAGAAAGAAAAAAUGAAGAAUCGACAAAAUAAACCAUUGGUUAUAUAAAAAGCUGAAAAAAUGAAUGCAGUUAAUCUAUUAAAAUAAAAAAGAUGAAGAUAUAUGUAAUAUUAUUUUUUCUGUUGCAAAACGUAUUAUGUUACUUAUUAAAAGAAAGAUUACCAUUGGAUUGUACAAUAAUUAAACAUGAUGUUAAAAAUGUAGUAAAUAAAAGAAAUAUCUUAUUAUUGGCACAUACAAACAAAAAAUUUAGAAAGUUGGGAAGGAAUCGAGCACAAAGAAGAGCACUACUUAGAGCAUUAACAACAAGUCUGUUAAGACAUGGUAAAAUUGUUACGACUGAAGCAAAAGCCAAAGAAGCUAGAAGAAAAGUAGAAAGGAUAAUAACAUAUGCUAAGAAGCAUGAUCAAAACAGACAAUAUGCAUAUCGAUUAAUAGCUAACUAUAUUUACGAUAGAGAAUUAGCUCUUAAUAUCGUGAAGCAAGCUCCAGUUCGAUAUAAAGAAAGAAAUGGUGGUUAUACGAGAAUAAAAAUUUUGCCAAUGAGUAGAAAAGGAGACGCAGCUAGAAUGGCUAUGUUGGAACUUAUGUAGUUUUAUUUUUUUUAUUUUUACAUUUUAAUCAUCUUUUUUUUUUGUUAUGUUUUGUUUUGUUAUGUAAGAAUAUGUACAUAUGUACGUGCAUACAUGUUUGUACAUAUUUUUACUCUUAUCUUCUCUACUCCCAUUUUUUCGUACAUUUUAAUUGAUUUAAACAAGAUAAAUAGAUUCACUUAGACUGUUCAUAUUUUACGCAUAUUUUACGCAUAUGCAUACGCAUACGUGCAUGUGCGAGUCUGUGUGCUUAAUUUUUUUAUGCCAUUAGUAAACUGGUUACCCAAUUUUUUUUUUUUUUUUAUAAAAUUGAAAUUACUUCAUUCGAUUCAAGUGGAUAUUAAGGAAUAGUCCUAGUAAAACGUUAAUUAUUCUUAUAUAUAUAUAUAAAGACAUUGUGUAGGAAUACUUUUAGUAACUUUUUUAAAAAUCGUAGUACUACUGGCUUCAAGUGUAAUGGUGUGAUUGUAGUAAACAGCACAUAUGUUAAAACAUGUCACAAGUAGAAUUUAAUUGUUUUUUAAAUAAUAAAAUAUAAAGGUUUGUUCUUAUUAAAAAAAAA
rnacentral:lncRNA from 1 species